GGCUCAGCGGCGCCUGUACCGCGACGUGAUGCUGGAGAACUUCGCCCUCCUGGCCUCGCUGGGAUGUGCAUCUUCCAUGUCCCGUGGGGCAGCCCCCCUGGAGCUGGGCAGCGAACCCCGGGCGUCAGACUGGGCGCACGUGAGUCCAGCCAGCACCAGAGACGCUCAGAGUGGGUGUGGCCCCGGUUCUUGGCCCGGAAUGGAGGAUGAGGAGAUACCUUGUAAGCAAAGGGUUUCUGCAGAAGGAGU